rnacentral:rRNA from 1 species
CGCUGGCGGCGUGCUUACACAUGCAAGUCGAGUGCGCGGUUGUAGCAAUACAACUGGCGCACGGCGCACGGGUGCGUAACACGUGGGCAAUCUGCCCUCCGAUGGGGAAUAACUCCGGGAAACCGAAGCUAAUCCCGCAUAACAUUCCCUGGACUCCGGUUUGGGGAAUCAAAGCAGUGAUGCGUCGGAGGAGGAGCCCGCGCCCGAUUAGCUAGUUGGCAGGGUAACGGCCUACCAAGGCAAUGAUCGGUAGCUGGUCUGAGAGGAUGGCCAGCCACACUGGAACUGAGACACGGUCCAGACUCCUACGGGAGGCAGCAGUGGGGAAUCUUGCGCAAUGGGCGAAAGCCUGACGCAGCGACGCCGCGUGGGGGAUGAAGCUUCUCGGAGUGUAAACCCCUUUCGACUGGGACGAAUGCCCGCAAGGGAGUGACGGUACCAGUAGAGGAAGCCCCGGCUAACUACGUGCCAGCAGCCGCGGUAAGACGUAGGGGCCAGCGUUGUUCGGAAUUACUGGGUGUAAAGGGUUCGUANGCGGUGUGGCAAGUCGGGAGUGAAAUUUCUGGGCUUAACUCAGAAGCUGCUUCCGAAACUGCUGUGCUUGAGUGUGGGAGAGGCGCGUGGAAUUGCAGGUGUA